UACAGAGGUGGCAAGCGUUGUUCGGAAUUACUGGGCGUAAAGCGUGCGCAGGCGGUUUGUUAAGACAGAUGUGAAAUCCCCGGGCUUAACCUGGGAACUGCGUUUGUAACUGGCAAGCUAGAGUGUGGCAGAGGGGGGUGGAAUUCCGCGUGUAGCAGUGAAAUGCGUAGAGAUGCGGAGGAACACCGAUGGCGAAGGCAGCCCCCUGGGCUAGCACUGACGCUCAGGCACGAAAGCGUGGGGAGCAAACAGG
rnacentral:rRNA from 1 species